GCACUCACUUCAGCAGCACAUAUACUAAAAUUGGAGUGACACAUAGAAGAUUAGCAUGGCCCCUAUGCAAGGAUGACAUGCAAAUUCACGAAGCAUUCCGUAUUUUU
ensembl:snRNA U6 U6 spliceosomal RNA